rnacentral:snRNA from 1 species
AAGAAAUAAUAUGUGUACAAU